rnacentral:tRNA from 1 species
GGCCGAAAAAGCGGCUGAUUUUACUGGGCGCUACGUUGACAUCGUAGAGGUCGUUGGUUCGAGUCCAAUACCGCCCA